GGGGUUGUGGCUCAGUGGUAGAGUGCUUGCCUCCAGUGCAUGAGGCACUGGGUUUGAUUCUCAGCACCUUA
rnacentral:tRNA from 1 species